UACGUAGGGGGCAAGCGUUAUCCGGAUUUACUGGGUGUAAAGGGAGCGUAGACGGCCAGACAAGUCAGAAGUGAGAGCCCAGGGCUCAACCCUGGGACUGCUUUUGAAACUGCCGGGCUGGAGUGCAGGAGAGGUAAGCGGAAUUCCUAGUGUAGCGGUGAAAUGCGUAGAUAUUAGGAGGAACACCAGUGGCGAAGGCGGCUUACUGGACUGUAACUGACGUUGAGGCUCGAAAGCGUGGGGAGCAAACAGG
rnacentral:rRNA from 1 species